AACGCAUAUUGCGCCCUCUGGUAUUCCGGGGGGCAUGCCUGUUCGAGCGUCAUUAUCACCAUUCAAGCAUUUGCUUGGUAUUGGGUCUCGUCCCCUCUGUUGUGCGGGAGGCGUACCUGAAAGUUAGCGGCGGAGCAGCUGGUCCUCGAGCGCAUUAGCUUAUUACAUCGCUACGAGAGUUUCCAAGCCUGCUACGGCCGGAUUUGAUGAAUAUUCCAAUGACUGACCUCGAAUCAGGUAGGAAUACCCGCUGAACUUAA
rnacentral:misc_RNA from 1 species